AAAACAAACAAAUGUGAUGACAAUCUUAUCAGAUACCCAAUGUUCUCAGGCCUAUUUUACCAAUGCACAUAACCAAAAUUACUACCUACGCAUAGGCAGUAAGGUCACUACCACUAUCACUGGCAGGAAAUAGUGCACUCUUCCGCCUCAGCCUUAGGCAGGAAAACCCUCUACCUCCAUCCCAGGUAGGAAAACCCUCUACCUCUAUUAUAGGUAGGAAAACCCUCCGCCUCACCCUUAGGCAGGAAAACCCUCUACCUCCAUCACAGGUAGGAAAACCGUGUACACAACCACUACCCCUCUCAUGGGUAGGCCUUCCCUAUUUUACCAGCUUAAAAAGUGUAAAAUCAGGGACUCACCACCACGUUGUCUGUGACCACCAAAUCCAGUAAUUACCGUAUACGAGACACAGGAGGAUUCCCUCUGGCCAGGCUGGGUGCCGCAGAGCAGUGUUUGUUGCCGAUGAAGGCCUUCUCCCAAGAUCACAAAGAGAUCUCCCUCCAGUCGACAUGGUUGGGUUCCUGCGCCUUUGGUCCUCCUCACUGUGCCUCAUAGAUAGGUAAUCCCAUCGUCGUCGCCAUUAAUGUGGUCAAAAUUAAUCCAAGACAACUGGUGUGAGACUGCAGCUUUAUUCACGACCCCGGAUACAUGUUACCCACAUGAAAUGUCAAAGUAACAAACCCACACAUCUGUGGGUGAAGCCAACUCUUAUACCCUUAACACACACCCACGGAAAUCACAAGUUGUCAUCCACCAGUGAUCACCUAACCAUCUGUUUUUUUAACAGAGAUAAGAAAUGUUUACCACCCCUCAUCCUGAGGGUCACCCCUAGUUCGGUGACAGAGGGGUUAUCUUAGCUUUCCUAAGUCAAAACAUUCCAACAUAGGGGUUUCAGAUGACACAAGGAUCAGAGUAAGAGGAUGGUAAUUAGAUUUCACUACAUGUAUGUAAGGUAUACUAAACAUUUAAUGAGA